rnacentral:rRNA from 1 species
CCAGCAGCUGCGGUAAUUCCAGCUCCAAUAGCGUAUAUUUAAGUUGCUGCAGUUAAAAAGCUCGUAGUUGGAUUUCGGGUGGGAAUGGCCGGUCCGCCGUUUCGGUGUGCACUUGCUACGCCCACCUUGCUGCCGGGGACGUGCUCUUGAGUUCACGCUCGGGACACGGAGUCGGCGAGGUUACUUUGAGUAAAUUAGAGUGUUCAAAGCAGGCCUACGCUCUGAAUACAUUAGCAUGGAAUAACACGAUAGGACUCUGGCCUAUCUUGUUGGUCUGUAGGACCGGAGUAAUGAUUAAGAGGGACAGUCGGGGGCAUUCGUAUUUCAUUGUCAGAGGUGAAAUUCUUGGAUUUAUGAAAGACGAACUACUGCGAAAGCAUUUGCCAAGGAUGUUUUCAUUAAUCAAGAACGAAAGU